GGUGAACGCUAGCGGCAGGCCUAAUACAUGCAAGUCGAACGAGGUUUAGUAGCAAUACUAAACUUAGUGGCGCACGGGUGCGUAACGCGUAUGCAACCUACCUUUGACAGGGGGAUAGCUCCCGGAAACGGGAAUUAACACCGCAUACUGUAUAUGAAUGGCAUCAUUUAUAUAUUAAAUCUACGGAGGUCAAAGAUGGGCAUGCGUCUGAUUAGCUAGUUGGUGAGGUAAUGGCUCACCAAGGCGACGACGGGUAGCCGGCCUGAGAGGGUGACCGGCCACACUGGGACUGAGACACGGCCCAGACUCCUACGGGAGGCAGCAGUGGGGAAUAUUGCACAAUGGGCGGAAGCCUGAUGCAGCAACGCCGCGUGAGGG
rnacentral:rRNA from 1 species